rnacentral:lncRNA from 1 species
CUGACUUCAAUUUGAAAUCAUAAAAAAAAAAUCAGAAUCGACAAAUCGUGAUCCCUUAUUCCAAUCUCUUGUUGUGGGAGACAAGACCACCUAAUAGUGGAUGGUGCAGGCAUCAUGGGCCGAUGGAAAGGCCGGUGGCCAUUGGAAUGUCCUACGGCCGUUGAGGGCUAUUGCACUUGAUGAAUACCUAAUGUUAGGCC